rnacentral:rRNA from 1 species
UACGUAGGGGGCGAGCGUUGUCCGAAUUUACUGGGCGUAAAGCGCGCGUAGGCGGUCAUUUAAGUUCGGGGUGAAAGGUUCAGCGCUCAACGCGAACAGUGCCUUGAAUACUGGGUGACUUGAGUUCGGGAGAGGGCAGUGGAAUUCCUGGUGUAGCGGUGAAAUGCGUAGAUAUCAGGAGGAACACCGAUGGCGAAGGCAGCUGCCUGGCCUAGAACUGACGCUGAGGUGCGAAAGCGUGGGGAGCGAACAGG